rnacentral:rRNA from 1 species
UACGUAGGGGGCAAGCGUUGUCCGGAAUCAUUGGGCGUAAAGCGCGUGUAGGCGGCUAGGUAAGUCUGCUCUGAAAGCCCGGGGCUCAACCCCGGGAGGCGGGUGGAUACUGUCUAGCUCGAGUCCGGAAGAGGAGUGUGGAAUUCCUGGUGUAGCGGUGAAAUGCGCAGAUAUCAGGAGGAACACCAAUGGCGAAGGCGGCACUCUGGGCCGGAACUGACGCUGAGGAGCGAAAGCGUGGGGAGCGAACGG